UACGUAGGGGGCUAGCGUUGUCCGGAAUCAUUGGGCGUAAAGAGCGUGUAGGCGGCCCGGUAAGUCCGCUGUGAAAGUCGGGGGCUCAACCCUUGGAUGCCGGUGGAUACUGCAGGGCUAGAGUCCGGAAGAGGCGAGUGGAAUUCCUGGUGUAGCGGUGAAAUGCGCAGAUAUCAGGAGGAACACCAAUGGCGAAGGCAGCUCGCUGGGACGGUACUGACGCUGAGACGCGAAAGCGUGGGGAGCAAACAGG
rnacentral:rRNA from 1 species